rnacentral:lncRNA from 1 species
AGUGCUGUCUUGUGAUAGAGUUAUCCCAAGAUCUGCUUGUUUAAAUAUGCAUCACUUCCUCCUCUCUCUCUUCCUCUUGCUCUCACCACGUAAGACAGCUUGCUUCCCCUUUGCCUUUCCACCAUGAUUGUAAGGUUCCUGAGGCCACCUCAGAAGCAGAUGCCUGUACAGUCCACAUAACCUACCUAAAAAAGAAACCAGAAAUUGAGGCCAAGGGGUAUCAGAAGGGCAGAUCAUCCAGGGCCUGUUUUGCAGAUUGAAAUUGAGCGGCGGCGGCGGCGGCGGCGGGCCAGCCAGGGGUAAACCCGCCAGGGAUAAGCCCUGAGGGAGGAGGUAGCGGCAGGGGCUGGGGCGGGGCGAGGCGGGGCCGCAGCCGGGAGGGAGGAGCGCUGGGAGGAAGAGGCCGGGCCGGGAAAGCCCCCGCCCCGGGAGGAAGGAGAGGAGGCCGAGCGUUUCCUGGCGCAUUCCCUGCGUGCCCGACUGACUGACUCGGCCAAGUAAAUUCCCGGGUCCCGCCCGGACCCCCGAGCCGCCGUGGACCCAGGUAAGGAACCCCGCGCGCCCGCGCCCGCCCUGCGGCCUCCGUGGGGUCCGGGUAGCCCUCGGAACCCGGGCCGGCCAAGGCGGCGGUGCCGGGACUGAGCACCGCCGGCGGCGCCGGGACUGAGCACCGCCGGCGGCGCAGCCUCCGGGAUCGCCCUGGCCCCAGCGUCCCCAGCUCCUGGCCCCGGGCUCCAGGUCCCCCCACCCCUAAACAGGACUCCAGGUCCCCGCACCCCUAAGCCGCGCCUCAGAAAAGGUACCUACCGACCAGAAAAUGCACGCUCCAGCCCCCGCCAAGCGGGAGGUUGAACUGUCGUGAGAAUAACUGCCAGUUCGCCAGUUGCCUGGCAGGAGAGGUCGAAGUAUGGCGAGAAAACCGCCAGCUCAGAAAGCCACUGUCGCAGGAGCCCGACCUCUCGCGCAAACAGCGCCAGACGCGCGCUGCAGGAGCGCGGAGCAUGGCGCGGCAUGGGCAGCCUUGGAGCCGGCUGGACCUGCAGCAGGAGCGCGACUUGCCAGAGCUCGUCUGGAGUGUCGCUGGCCUCAAGGACGAGACAGACCCCAGCUUCCAGCUCGCCCUAAACUUCGCCUGGUCCAACUUAAGCUAGAAUGCUGCAUCUCCGCACAGCUCCUGGCAGGUAGCACGGUAAAUCACCUAAUACAAUUGCUAAUGCGGUUUCUCUUGUAACUAAUUUCUUGUUUGGUUGGUUGGGUUUUGUUUUGUUUUGUUUUGUUUUGUUUUUGAGACGGAGUCUCGCUCUGUCGCCCAGGCUGGAAUGCAGUGUCGUGAUGACGGCCCACUGCAACCUCUGCCUCCUGGGUUCAAGCGAUUCUCCUGCCUCAGCCUCCCCAAGGCGCGUGCCACCACGCUUGGUUAAUUUGUGUGUGUGUGUGUGUGUGUGUGUGUGUGUGUGUGUGUGUUUAGUAGACACGGGAUUUCACCGUGUUAGCCAGGAUGGUCUCAAUCUCCUGACCUCGUGAUCUGCCCCCCUUGGCCUCCCAAAGUGCUGGGAUUACAAGUGUGAGUACCAUGCCCGGCCUCUUGUAAAUAAUUUUUAAAGACUUACAGAGUUUAGAUAUUUAGGUGGAGUGAGAUCUCCUAUUUUUCUUUAUGGGAGAUGUAAAUUAAACAAUACUCUAAUUCGUUAUUCAUAAUGAAGUUAUUAGUAAAAGAAUGUUAAUGUUCCACCUGUUUAAUUUCAGUAAAAAUCUUCUUGAAUAAUGAUUAGGUUUUCAAAACCUGUAAUCUUAGUUACCUUAAUGAUCAUAGCCCGUGAAGUGUCUAGUUAGUUGGUUUAUAAUAGGAAUACAGGACUUUCAGAUUCUUUUAAAACAUGCCAAGUUUCUGAAGUAAUAAACUGAAUUCCUAACUGUAACUUAUAAAAAUAAACAAUGUGUGAAAUAGAUUAUACAAUACAGAAACGUAAAUGCUGAAUCCCAAGUUAUUUUUCUAUUAAUAUUUCUAUAUGACAGUCGGCAGAUGUUCGUCAUUUUAGAGCUAGGAGAGACAUUAGAGGUUGCUAUUUACUUUCAUAAAAUGGUACACUAUGUUACCUAUACCUAAAUUAUAGGUAAAGUGGUGUUCCAUUCAGCCAUUUACUGGAAUAGAAUCAGAUGUGGUUUUCAGUCGUGAAAUUUUAUUUAAGUACAGAUUGCUGGCUGUGAUAAUAAAAAAGGCAAAACGUUUUUUGCAUAGGCUAUGCUAUAUACAUAUACAUUAGUUCCAUAGGCUAUGCUCUAAUGUUACGAUGCUUUAAACCAUCAGAAAAAUUAAUAGUUCAUGUUUACAUUUUUUAAAAUUGUGGCCAUUUAGAAUUCUAGGCCCUAGAAAUUCAAAAAUGAGUAAGUUGUAGCCUCUGUCUUUAAGAAAGAGACAAAAGUUAAUCACAGUAUAAUAUAUGAUAGGGAUUUUUAUAAUUCAGAUAUUUGUUAAUUUGGAUGAGGAAAAAAUUGUACUAAUCUCUAACUGAAAAGUAGCAUCUGCUUCCAUUAUGAAUGAAGGCAGAAAACCAUAGGAGAAAGAGAACACUCACCUUUGAGAAUGAGUUAAUUAAAAUGUUAAAUGUUUUAGAAUAUCAAUUUAAUAAAUGUUUCAAUAUUUUUAAAUUUUUAUCUGAUUGUAUUUUAAGUCUUGUUAGUCUUUUUUCUUUUAGUUUUGAGAUUUUUUUCAAAGAUAGAUAUAAUAAAGCUGAUGAAGUUCUUCUGUCACAUUUUAGAAAAGAAAGAUAAUUUUGACUUGGGAAAAUACUUGAUGGAAGGUGAAGAAAUGGACAUUGAUCCAGACAUGGACACACCAGUAAGUGACAGUAGUUUUGCUAUUAAAAAUUUAAAUACACACCAGGUGAUAGAGAUGAUUUUAAUGUGUCUUCCCACCUAGGUCAACUAAGCUAAAACAGGAACACUCUUAACUAAUCUAGAGUCAUUUAUUAUGGAAGUCUGGUUAGGAUUUUGCACCAAAUCACUAGGAUUAUCAAGUUACAAGGGGGUGGGCAUGGUGGCUCACACCUCUAAUCUCAGCACUUCAUUGAGAGGCUGAGGAAGGAGGAUUGCUUGAGCUUAGGAAUUUGAGACCAGCCUGGGUAACAUAGCAAGUUCUUAUGUCUAUUUUUUUAAAAUAGAAUUUAAAGAAAGAUGUUGUUUGGGCACAUUGGGCACACUGGCUCACACCUGUAAUCCCAGCACUUUGAGAGACCAAGGCAGGUAGAUCACUUGAGGCCAGAAGUUCGAGAGAAGCCUGGGCAAUAUAGUGAAACCCUAUCUAGUAAAAAUACAAAAAAUUAGCUGGGCAUGGUAGCACAUGCCUAUAAUCACAUCUGCUCGGGAGGCUCAGGCACGUGAAUAUCUUGAAGGUCAAGGUUGCAGUGAGCUGAGAUCAUGCCAUUGCACUUUGUUACCUGGGUGACAAAGUAAGAGACUAUCUCCAAAAAAGAAAAAAGAUAAGUUAAAAGGGUUGAGUAUAAGUAUCUCUUAAGAACCUGUGAUCUUGGGACUUUUUGCCACCAAAAAUAAUUCCAUUCCUUAUUGUUUCAAUGUUAUAGAAAAAAAUAAAAAGUAAUAAUUAUAUUUCCAUUCCUAUAAUAGGCACUUCCAAGAUAUUUAGAAAAAAAAAAUUCAUUUGGUUUUUUUUUUUCUGUUCCAUGUUGCUUCAAAAUUUUUGCUUUUCUUCAAAAUCUUCUUAGUCUUUUAAUAUAAAUAGCUUUAAGUGUUAUACUCUGUAAGGCUAAAGUGUAUUUCUUUUUUAAAUCAGAAUUGGUCUGAAGAAAGUGACGAGGAAAAUGAUCAAUAGCCAUUAAGCAGAGAGGACUCUGGAAUUCAGGUAGACAGGGCACCGUUAGAAGAACAAGAUCAAAACAGAAAACUGGGUCCUUGUGUCAGUUGGAAAGGUACUGUGUGUUGUGAGGUGCUGGCAUUUUCUAAUGGACAAAUUCCCUAGAAGAAAAGGCAAGCUCAAGAUCAGUUCCAUGGGAUCAAGGUAUCAGCUAAGUGGUAUCAUCUUUAUAAAAGCAAUUUUUAAAACUAUUAGUAAUCUUUUCUAUGUGAUGUUUAAGUAGUAGUACCAUAGAAUUAGUGUUGAAUUAAUGCAUGCAGAGUGUAAUUUUGUAAUUUUUUUCCU